AAUUUGCUUAGGAUGAUGGCCUCUAGCUGCAUCUAUGUUGCUGCAAAGGACAUAAUUUUGUUCUGAAAGUCUUUUUAAGCUUUUCUUUUUCAAUGUGAAAGGAGGCCACAAUGAAAUAUUAAAGAUACUAUUUUUUGGAUUUGGGUGGCUUUUCUUCAUGCGCCAAUUGUUUAAAGACUAUGAGUCUCUGUUUGGCUUUUAACAGAUACGUCAGUAUGUUGUACAGGUGAUCUUCUCCGUGACGUUUGCAUUUUCUUGCACCAUGUUUGAGCUCAUCAUCUUUGAAAUCUUAGGAGUAUUGAAUAGCAGCUCCCGUUAUUUUCACUGGAAAAUGAACCUGUGUGUAAUUCUGCUGAUCCUGGUUUUCAUGGUGCCUUUUUACAUUGGCUAUUUUAUUGUGAGCAAUAUCCGACUACUUUUGUCUCCUCUGUCUCAGUGCAUAAACAACGACUGCUUUUUUCCUGUCUCUUAUGGCUGACCUUUAUGUAUUUCUUCUGGAAACUAGGAGAUCCCUUUCCCAUUCUCAGCCCAAAACAUG
rnacentral:lncRNA from 1 species